rnacentral:lncRNA from 1 species
AUCCAAUUUAAUCCUGAAUUGUCAGAAUUCUCCAUUUAUAUUGUUCCUCUCAUAAAAGGUAAAUUCAUUUAAAUUACUUAACAAAUUGUAAUAAAUUUUUUUAUAAUCAGUGGAAAUAGGAUUAAAAUGAAGUCAAAUAAUUAUACAGAUGAUUAACAACAGAAUUCCAAAUAUAUAAUUAAGAGAUCCAAAGCUGAAGUUGUGAGAAUUGUGAUAAAAGUGACUGUUUUUAUUUUGAUAAUACGUUGUUACCUGUGUCUGAGUGCCGCUGGGGUGAGUCGACGGGAAGUUAAUGUAAAUAACCGACUGGAGGAAAGAAAAAUAAGAAUAUUAUUUUUGGAGUUAAUUAUUUUGUUUUGCUUAGUUGUUAUUACGAUUUAACUAUUUAAAAAAAUAUUAUAAUAGUACUAAUAAUUAAUAAUAAUAAUUUCUUUUUGUAUUGUUUUUUUGAUUUAAAGUUGUUCAAUAAUUUAUGUAAAUGAGGUGUAAUAUUUAAGUUGUUGGGUGGCGCUAUAAUGCACUUGUGUUUGUUAAUGAUCACAGCUGUGUGUGUACUGUUGGUACUUGUAUUUUUUGUAGUUUUAUGCAGUGGCUACUUUUGCUGUUAUUUUUAUGUUUAAUUAAACAAAGCCUGUAUUUAAUCAGUUAUCAGUUUAUUAAAAUAAUUUUUUCCAGUUGAAUAUGGACUCUUUUCAAGGCAUUAACUAUGUUUUGCAGUGGCUUCAGGAGAUGGAGCUGGACAUCUCCAUUCAUAUCCGUACUCGGAGGAGAGCUGAAUUUAGGGGGAACGGGGCCGAACUUUCGAUGGGUUUGCGGCCGAGGGCCGGGGCACGUCACAAAGUUAACAAAAUUGAAAAAACUUGUUUUCUUUUAAUUCCUUGCAUUAUGCACAUGCUAAUUUCCAUCUAUAAUUACAUGUUAUUAAAAUUAAACUUGAUUAAUUAUGUAAAAAAUUAAAAUAUCUCGC